rnacentral:rRNA from 1 species
GAUGAACGCUGGCUACAGGCUUAACACAUGCAAGUCGAGGGGAAACGACGGGGAAGCUUGCUUCCCCGGGCGUCGACCGGCGCACGGGUGAGUAACGCGUAUCCAACCUGCCUCUGACUGAGGGAUAACCCGUCGAAAGUCGGCCUAAUACCUCAUGGCAUCGUCUGCGGGCAUCCAACGACGAUUAAAGAUUUCAUCGGUCAGGGAUGGGGAUGCGUCUGAUUAGCUAGUUGGCGGGGUAACGGCCCACCAAGGCGACGAUCAGUAGGGGUUCUGAGAGGAGCGUCCCCCACAUGGGAACUGAGACAAGGUCCAAACUCCUACGGGAGGCAGCCGUGAGGGAUGUUGGUCAAGGGACGAGAGCCUGAACCAGCGAAGUAGCGUGCAGGAAGGCGGCCCUAUGGGUUGUAAACUGCUUUUAUGCGGGGAUAAAGUGAGGGACGUGUCCUUCAUUGCAGGUACCGGAUGAAUAAGGACCGGCUAAUUCCGUG